GACGAACUGUGCAAACGUUAUUCGGAAUCACUGGGCUUGAAGAGUGCGUAGGCGGUUUCGUAAGUAGGGGGUGAAAGCCCUCGGCUCAACCGGGGAAUUGCGUCCUAAACUGCGAGGCUGGAGUGAGGUAGGGGUGUGUGGAACUUCCAGUGGAGCGGUGAAAUGUGUUGAUAUUGGAAGGAACGCCGGUGGCGAAAGCGACACACUGGACCUUGUCUGACGCUGAGGCACGAAAGCCAGGGGAGCAAACGGG
rnacentral:rRNA from 1 species